rnacentral:lncRNA from 1 species
CUGGGCGCGGGAUUAUUAUUGAUCUAAUCUGGAUCAUGCGGAUCGGAUCGGACGACCCAGGCUCCAAGGUACCCCUUCACCGCGAUCAUUUUCUAAAAGAGUCCCUGCUGAUUUUAAAAAUAGAACCCGUCAUCCAUGCUAGUGCUGGUUCUAUUACAAACCGGUCCUGAAACUUAUAAUUUUAACCUUGCACUUUUAGAAAUUAUAAUUCGAGGACUAAACGGUUAGGGAAAUUAAUAAAGUGAGCCAUUAAGUGAUUUCUAAUAUAACAAAUAAUUUCAGAAACUUGUUUAAUUCAUCUUAACUCAUUUUUUAUCCAUUCCAGUUGUAUUAGAUUCAUAUUAAUAUUGUUUAUCACCUAGUAACUCUGUUUGGACAUGAAACAUAGAUUAAAAUUGUUUACUUAAUUUAUCUCGUGCCAAGUAUUUAACAACUUCGGAAAAUCAUAACUUAAGAACCGUAACUCCGAUUUGAUCCGUUCGAAUUACGUUGGAUUCAAAACAAUAUCAUUUAUACAAUAUGACACUAACAUUUAUCGCACCCCAUACUUUUAUUAUUAGAAAUUUGUCUAGCCCAUGUUUAAUAGAUUAACUCCUCUAAUCGAAGUUAACUUAUCCAUAAUUAUAAUUUAACUAAAAUAUGAUCUAUAGUCAAGUUAUAAUUAAGGUUUAAGCUGAGUUAAUUAUUUAUAGAAUAGUCUCUCAUAUGAUAUACACUAAACAAUUUAUAAUAUAGUUUAAUAUCAAAAUCCCAUAGAUCUCUCAUAAAUCAUAACUCCUUAACCAUGACUCCGAUCUUAGUAGUUCUCAAUCCCAUGAUCUCAUAGCAACACGUAGAUUAUUAUUAAGCAGUUUGUACUUAUGUUUGGUGUGAUGUUAAUUUUGCCCAUACCAUGUUUGUCUGUAUUGCUACGACUAGCAGUGAGGUCACGAGAAUCUGAAGGUCAUCCUGGUACCUGGAAAUCUCAAGUCCCAGGCAAGUUGUGCCCUUGAUCACUUCUUUUUACCCACUCAUGUUCUAAUUAAUCAUAAUGAUCUGCAUAGGUUAAUUUUGAUGGGACCCAAUAGGAUACCCUAGUUUGUCUAUCUUUAUACCUUGUUUACCACUGAACUUUCUGGGUAGUACUUGCUAGUGCUAUAUGUGGUUUUGGGUGUGGAGAUACAUUAUUCAUGAUUACACUUUUGUUAUCGGUUGUUAUUUACUGUUCAUGAUAAGAUCAUUAUGUUAAUUGGAACAUGGAGCGACCACCCGGGAAAACAGUGCUACCACAAGGGUUUAAUGGGACGCCCUUGGCUGAUUAAUUAGGAAAGCUAGUGGAAGACUACCUUACCCAAAAGGGGCAAGGGCAGUAGGGGAGUGGUCAGUGUAGGGAGGUCCUUGGGAUGAUUUUGCUGCGAUGGCGGUCAUGCGAGGGGUCCCUGCAUUGGAGCUUCCUAUAAACUGUAGCGGGUUUUCUGAAGCUAGUGGAACUUUGUAAAGGCCUCAUAGUGUUACCCUGCCUCGCCUCCUCGGUAGAGGUGUAUGGGAAGUCGCGAUCCCUUGGCAGAUGGGUAACAUGACUUGUGGGUAAAGAUGCACAACCUCUGCAGAGUGUAAAACUGGUAUAUCAGCCGUGCUCACGGUCAUGAGCAGCUCGAACCCUCACAUGAUUAACUUAUGGAACUAAAUUCAAUUUGUCAUAUGCAUUGUAUCGCAGGUGAGGUUGUUACUUCUGUUCUACUACUUAAUCGGGUUGGUAUUUACUUAUACUUAGUAACUGCUAAUAAAAUUUUGACCAACUUUAAAAGCAAUGCUCAGCUCUAACCAUCCUCUUUGGUAAGCCUUACACUUCACCUGAGCUCCCACCUUUGGCGAGUUCAUACACAUUAUUCCCCACAACUUGUUGAGCGAUGAACGUAUGUGAGCUCACUCUUGCUGUCUCACACCCCCCCACAGGUCAAGAACAGGUACCACAGGAUGAGGCGCUUGGAGGAUGUUGUGACGAGUUCGUGAGAGGUCUAGGCCGUCGUCUCCC